rnacentral:misc_RNA from 1 species
AAAAAAAGAAAAGAAAAAAAAAGAAAAGAAAAGUUGCCUCAAAGCUCACACACUCGUUAAAAAACAAUCCAAUGACAAGACGAAACUUGAUCAUUAAAUUAUGUAAGUCCUGGGGUGCAGAGCAGUGGAAUAAAUAAUGAACACAAAUUCAAUGAAGAGUUAGAAAUUUCCAUAGGAAAGAAAAUAUAUUCCUUUAUGUUGAUAAUGUCAAAAAUCUUAGUUAAUUAUAGCAUUCCAGAGAUACUUGAUACUUCCAGUCAAGCUGAAUGGUAUUGGAUACAAGAAUAUAUACAGUCACAUUUGCACAUCAAAACCUACUAAUUACUGAAGUAUAAAGACAUAUGGCAGUCAUCAAGGAGGGCAACGAGAGUACCAGACCACAACAAUUGCCCAAGGGCAAAAUGAAGGGAACUAGUAUUACAGCAAAAGAGCAUGAAAAUUUUUCACUGGUACAAAACAUUGCACAUGAAGCAUCAGAUUGAAAUAUAUUGGACUGAAAAAUAUGUUUGGAAUUUGGAUAGAUAUGCAUCCAAUAAUAGAAUGCUAAUGCCGGGUAAAUGUCGAUAUGGUAUAUUUGUUCUUCUACAUGGGCAGGCAGGAUUCAUUUGAAAUGUAUAAUCUCCCCUCAAUAUUCAAUUAUGAAACUGACUUGAAACAGCAUGCUUUUGCAGAACUGCCUGAUCUUAACAGACGCUAAAACUUUUUGGACAAACAAACUGCCAUUGAAUAUAUAUAUAUUUUUUAUUCUUCUAGUAUUCUAUAUUGUAUAACUUCAUUUGCCCAAGGAAAUCAUUCAUCAAUGUUCUUGAAACUUUUUGCUCACCAAGAAAAAUAAAUAUAGAGUAGGACUGCCUGAUCUUGAAACAGCAUGCUUUUGCAGAACUGCCUGAUCUUAACAGACGCUAAAACUUUUUGGACAAACAAACUGCCAUUGAAUAUAUAUAUAUUUUUUAUUCUUCUAGUAUUCUAUAUUGUAUAACUUCAUUUGCCCAAGGAAAUCAUUCAUCAAUGUUCUUGAAACUUUUUGCUCACCAAGAAAAAUAAAUAUAGAGUAGGACUGCCUGAU